GGAGUUGUGGCUCCAAGGUAGAGCACUUGCCUUGCAUGCAUGAGGCACUGGGUUCGAUCCUCAGCACCA
rnacentral:tRNA from 1 species